UACGUAGGGUGCAAGCGUUGUCCGGAAUUAUUGGGCGUAAAGAGCUCGUAGGCGGUCUGUCGCGUCGGAUGUGAAAAUCCAGGGCUCAACCCUGGACCUGCAUUCGAUACGGGCAGACUAGAGUUCGGUAGGGGAGACUGGAGUUCCUGGUGUAGCGGUGAAAUGCGCAGAUAUCAGGAGGAACACCGGUGGCGAAGGCGGGUCUCUGGGCCGAUAUUGACGCUGAGGAGCGAAAGCGUGGGGAGCAAACAGG
rnacentral:rRNA from 1 species